rnacentral:sRNA from 1 species
GAUACGCCCCUUGGAUGCCUGCAGAGAAGCUCUGGGGUUUCAGUCAAUGACUCAGGGUAGCCACUGAACAUGACGCUCGCAGUGGGUGCCACCUGGACUCCACUCUCCUCUCUCUCUGGGAUCAUAGAGUCCAAGGUGUUCUGUGGCCUCUCGGCCAGUCCCAGCAGCUCAGCGUGCAGAAGACCGAGGAGCCAUUGGAAUUCAACACAACAUGAAAUAAUCGACAAAUUCGGGGAAUGUUAAUCUGACCAUUCCCAGUUACAAAUGAUGUUUCAUGCUACCUUCUAUUCCUGCCUUCAUAAAUCAAGCUCUAAAUCUCCAGGAAAAAAUGCGCUAAGAUCGCCAGUGAAAUGUCCUUCCAACUGUGGAUGGAAAGCAAGGACAGCAAAGCCUUCCAGACCUGCCUGUGACAUGCACUGCACAUUCUAAAGAUGCCUGUGCAAUGGAAAACACCACUGUCUCCUCCAGCACAGCUGCCAUUCUUCCAUCUUAUCGACCUUAAUGCAACAACUCCACACAGGCAGAGAUUUUAAAAUGUGUUCUUGGCAGAAGAGAGACUCAAAGAUGGGACAAAUGGGUCAUUUAAAUGCCUGUUAAAAUGGAACGGACAUAGUAUAGUCAGAGGAUUGUGGCAGCUAAGAACAUAGUCUCUGGAGCAAAUCUGCAUGGGUGGCAACCCCAAGCACUUGAGGUCCUAGUUGUAUGAACUUAGGAAAAGAAAAAGAGAACAUAUAUCCCCCUACCUUUUGAUUUCCAACAGUCUACUGAGAGGCCAACAUUAUUUGCAGGGAAAGAAAAGGGGAAUGCCAUCCCCACCCUCUCGCAGCUACA